rnacentral:rRNA from 1 species
GAUGAACGCUGGCGGCGUGCUUAACACAUGCCAGUCGAACGGAAAGGCCCAAUCUUGCUUGGGUACUCGAGUGGCGAACGGGUGAGUAACACGUGGGUGAUCGGCCCUGCACUUCGGGAUAAGCCUGGGAAACUGGGUCUAAUACCGGAUAGGACCACGUCUUGGAUGUUGUGGUGGGAAGUUUUUUGGGUGUGGGGUGAGCUCGCGGCCUAUCAGCUUGUGGGUGGGGUGAUGGCCUACCAAGGCGUCGACGGGUGGCCGGCCUGAGAGGGUGUGCGGCCACACUGGGCCUGAGAUACGGCCCAGAUUCCUACGGGAGGAAGCAGUGGGGAAUAUUGCACAAUGGGCGCCAGCCUGAUGCAGCGACGCCGCGUGGGGGAUGACGGCCUUCGGGUUGUAAACUCCCUUUGCUAGGGACGAAGCGUUUUGUGACGGUACCUUGAGAAGAAGCACCGGCUAACUACGUG